AGGUAUUAGAUUAGAUUAUUAGUAGUAGUAGUUAGGGGUGUACAUAAAAUACUCCGGACCGGAAACCAGACCUGAACUGGACUGGACCCGGAUCGGCAGAUUCAGAUCUGGUCCCGGUCCAUAAAAAUGGGUUAUUCCGAUUGCCGGUCCGAUCCGGGUUUAAACCGGAUUUUUUUGGUCUGGGCCGUAAACCGGUUAUUUUUUUUUUGUUUUUUUGGGUAUAAUCAGGAAACGAAAAAGAAGAGGAAAGGAAACCCUUCUAAGUGUUCUAACUCUUCCUUCUCUCUCUCAUUCUCCAUUGAAGCGUACUCCGAAUUCUUCAUUGAAGCGGCUUCACAGCUUUCUGACCGCCAUUGAAACAGAUUUUAAGGUAAGAUUUAUUUAGUAUUUAAUAUCAGUUUUACAAUCUAGCGUUUAAUUUCACUCCAUUGUCAAUUUAAUCAUCCAUUUAGGGUUUAGUUUCACACUAGUCAAUUUAGGGUUCUUCUAUGGUAGAUUAAUUGAACUGUUCGUUAGAAUUACUCAAGUUAUGAAAAAUUAUAACUACCGAUUUUGUUACUUGUGUGAAAUUUACGUUGAUUUGAGAAGAUUUGUAUGUGAUUAAUCGAGCCUAAUUUGAUGAUUGAGUCAAAUUUGUUGCAUAAACCUUAAAUGUUAGGAUGGAAUUAUGAAUUAGAAUAGUAGAGAAUUUGGUUUAAGUGACUUAAUUUAGCAGUAUUAUUGGGUAUUUCUAUCAUCUAAUUUGAUUAUGGGUUUUUGUUUUUUCAAUCCCAUUCCCUGUAUUCUACCCACUUGAAUAAUACCCACCACCUGUUCGGCGAAAUUACCACAUUUGCUACUAAGCUCUGUUUUGGUUUUUGCAUUUUACAUGUCAUUUUAUUUCUGGUUGCUGUUAUUUUAUUGUAUGCAGUUUUAGUUUAUUUAUUUGUGUUGACUGAUUUUAAUUUUCAUCAUUGGUUGAUAAGAGGGAGAAGUUAUGUGAGAAAGAAAGAUUGAGAGAAAUGUUUAAAGCUUGUCAAAGAAUUUCUGUGACCACUGAUACUUGGACCUCAAUACAAUGAAUCAAUUAUAUGUGUCUUACGGCUCAUUUUAUUGAUAGUGAGUGGAAAUUGCAUAAAAAGAUAAUCAAUUUUUGUCCAAUAUCAAGUCACAAAGGAGAGGCUAUUGGAAAAUCCGUCGAAGCAUGUUUAGAGCAUUGGGGUAUUGAGGAUAAGCUUUUUACUAUCACUAUUGAUAAUGCCUCUUCAAAUGAUGUUGCUUGUAUGCACUUAAGUAGAAUGGUUAGAAGAACCGGAUGUAUUAAUGAUAGAAAAAAUCUUCAUGUUAGAUGCAUUACUCAUAUCAUUAAUCUAAUUGAGUGGGAUGGAAUCAAACAACACGGUGUGUGCAUUGAUAGAGUUAGAAAUGCCGUGAAAUAUGUGCAAAACUCUUCUGCUAGAAUAUCUAGGUUCAAAGAUCUUGUGCAAAAAGCAAAUAUAGAUUCCAAAGCUUCCUUGUCUUUUGAUGUCCCCACUCGUUGGAAUUCUACAUUCACAAUGUUGGACACGGCUUUGAAAUUUCAGCGUGUUUUUAGUGGGUUAUCUCUUCCUGAUGGAGAGGAUUGAAUGAUAAUGAAAGACCUCCCAAAGAAGAAUGAUAUGUGAAAAACUCUCCCGGUAGAAUAUCUAGGUUCAAAGAUCUUGUGCAAAAAGCAAAUAUAGAUUCCAAAGCUUCCUUGUCUUUUGACGUCCCCACUCAUUGGAAUUCUACAUUCACAAUGUUGGACACGGCUUUGAAAUUUCAGUGUGUUUUUAGUGGGUUAUCUCUUUCUGAUGGAGAGGAUUGAAUGAUAAUGAAAGACCUCCCAAAGAAGAAGAUUGGAAAAAAGCACAGAGAUUGACUUUGUUUUUAAGGGGUUCUAUGUUUUGACUAAACGUAUCUCUGGCUCUCAUUAUGUGACAAGUAAAUAGAGGUUUGAGUGAGAUUGUUUCCAUGUAUAAUAUGUUGAAUAAGUGGGAGAAAAGUGGGGAUUUGAACUUUCAAGCUAUGACUAUUGCAAUGAAACAAAAGUUUGAUAAGUAUUAGGGGAAUGUGAAUAAAAUGAACAAGCUUAUUUAUGUUGCUUCUAUUCUUGACUCUCAUUGCAAGUUCAUACUUGUUGAAUUGUCACUAAUUGAUAUGCAUGGAAAGAAAAGGGUUUGAAGCUUGCCAAUAAGGUGAAAGAAUUCACUUACACUUUAUUUGAUGAAUAUAGAAACAUUUACACUUCUUCUAUUUCUCAAAGUAGCCAACAAGGGGAUUCGAUGCCAAUAGAUGUUGAUGUUUAUUUUGAUGUUGAUGAUGAUACUGCCUUUGGUAUAGAAGGGGGUGACGGUUACAUGAAAAACCUUAAAGAAGUGGCAAAAAAAUUAGAGGGGACAAGUGGGUAUGUGAUGAACGAGUUGGAUAGAUUCUUACAUGAACGCAUAGGGCCGGAGGAAGAAGAACUAGAUGCAUUAACUUGGUGGGGUAUUAAUGGUCAUCGCUAUCCGGUUCUUAAGUGCAUGGCACGUGACAUCCUAGCAGUCCCACUGUCUACAGUUGCGUACAGUUGCGUCUGAAUACACUUUUAGUACGGGAGGUCGUACUCUAGAUCCAUUUUGGAGCUUUGUAACACCUAAGCCCUUAUUUGUUCACAAGAUUCGUUAAGAGCAAAGGGAUUGCCAAUUAUUGAUGUGGAGGAAACUUUGAAAGAGUUAGAGGAAAUCGAGAAAGAUGUGCAAUGUGGUGAUGUAGACAAUGAAGUCAUUUUUGUAGACUCGUUGGUUUGAUUCGUUUGAAGCGUGUGAUUGAAGGGAGAUAAGGGAUCAAGUAUACAAUCUAAUAUAAUCUAUUUUGGACUUUAUGUAACUUGUUAAAUAUGUUUUAUACUAUGUUUUAACUGAUGUAUAUAAUAAGUAGAUAACUAUGUUUUGGACUAAAAAAAAGGUCAAUAGUUUUGUCCCAAAGAAGGUCUUGAAACAGGUCCAAAAUAGGCCUUUAUAAAGAAAGAAAAUCAAACCGGUCUAAAUAGGUUCGCAUUACCGGUUCACAUAAACCGGUCCAAUCCGGUUCAGGACCGGUGUUCACCCCUAGUAGUUACGUGUACUUGGUCAUGAAUAAAGGCUUUAGGAGUAUGUUAUUAGUGGGACUGUUUGUUUAUUAGUCAUCUGCAUGUUUAUUAUAGUUGAGAAAUAUUAGGAGAUAGUGGGUUUGUUUCUUUUAAGCAUAUUUUGUAAGUGGAGUCAUGCUCCUAUUAUUAAGUAAUUUGUUGGCAUAUUUUUAGCUUUGUUUUGUCCGUGAUAUUGGCCUAUAUAAGGCAAGGCAGUGACGUUUGUUUAACGAAGAAUGCAAUUAAUGAAUUAUAUUCAAAUUCUUCUCUUUCUCUUAUCUAUCUUU